rnacentral:rRNA from 1 species
UACGUAGGGUGCAAGCGUUAAUCGGAAUUACUGGGCGUAAAGCGUGCGCAGGCGGUCCGUUAAGACAGAUGUGAAAUCCCCGGGCUUAACCUGGGAACUGCAUUUGUGACUGCAUAGCUAGAGUACGGUAGAGGGGGAUGGAAUUCCGCGUGUAGCAGUGAAAUGCGUAGAUAUGCGGAGGAACACCGAUGGCGAAGGCAAUCCCCUGGACCUGUACUGACGCUCAUGCACGAAAGCGUGGGGAGCAAACAGG